CCCUUAGAUGUUCUGGGCCGCACGCGCGCUACACUGAUGCAUUCAACGAGUCUAAAACCUGGUCUGAUAGGGCUGGGUAAUCUUUUGAAAGUGCAUCGUGAUUGGGAUAGAUGAUUGCAAUUAUUGGUCUCCAACGAGGAAUUCCUAGUAAACGCAAGUCAUCAGCUUGCAUUGAUUACGUCCCUGCCCUUUGUACACACCGCCCGUCGCUCCUACCGAUUGAAUGGUUUAGUGAGACCCUCGGAUUCGUCCCAGCACAGUGGGUUUCUGCUGAGCUGGUGCGCGGAGAAGACGGUCGAACUUGAUCAUUUAGAGGAAGUAAAAGUUGUAACA
rnacentral:rRNA from 1 species